UCACCAUCUCAAGCCUGGCUUGUUGUUGGGCCCUUUGUCACCGGGUGACAGGUCCGAAAGACAAUGACCGGUGUCAUACUGACUCCCUAUGCGACGAGCUUAUAACAGCAUGCAUGUGGUGGUUGUGUGACCCGCUGAAAGCCUUUGGCACCCUUUCUUUCUCAA
rnacentral:misc_RNA from 1 species